GAGUUUGAUCCUGGCUCAGGAUGAACGCUAGCGGCAGGCCUAAUACAUGCAAGUCGAGGGGCAGCAGGCUGUAGCAAUACAGUGCUGGCGACCGGCGCACGGGUGCGUAACACGUAUGCAAUUUGCCCAUAACUGGGGGAUAGCCCUCCGAAAGGAGGAUUAAUACCCCAUAACCCAACGAGGUGGCAUCACUUUUUUGGUAAAUCUCCGGAGGUUAUGGAUGAGCAUGCGUCCGAUUAGCUAGUUGGUGAGGUAACGGCUCACCAAGGCAACGAUCGGUAGGGGGUCUGAGAGGAUGAUCCCCCACACGGGUACUGAGACACGGACCCGACUCCUACGGGAGGCAGCAGUAAGGAAUAUUGGACAAUGGAGGCAACUCUGAUCCAGCCAUGCCGCGUGAAGGAUGAAGGCCCUACGGGUUGUAAACUUCUUUUCUACUUAGAAAAACUACUGGUUUCGUACCGGUACUGAUUGUAC
rnacentral:rRNA from 1 species